UCCAGAGUGCCGAGAGCCGACCCGGG
rnacentral:sRNA from 1 species